rnacentral:rRNA from 1 species
AUGCGUGUGGCACUGGUGGUGCCCCGUUUGCCGGAGGCAGCACCGAGUCGAGCGGCCGGUGCUGCAAGAGGCUUCACGGUGGGUGGCGGCCUCUUCGGCGGCGACAGUGUGGCGACCCGCCUCCAUCCCCCUCUCCCUUCCUUGCCCGUGGCGAUGGACGAGGACCAUGGCCCGACCUCCUUCUCCAUAACCCGCACCCGCGCUCUCCUAUUUUCGCCGCUGGACUCUCAUCGCCACGGCGGCGGCGGCCCCUGCCUCCACUCCACGCUCCUCUUCUCUUCGUCGCGCACGGCGACAGAAGGAGGGGUUCUGAUGGGAGCAAGGCUUGCGACCCCUCCGUCACAACUGCUCCGGGGCCCGGACAAAGCCGAGGCCGUCUCUCGGUGGUGGUUGGCAUUCUGUUUGAUGCGGGCUGCAUCUACUCCCACGACAACGGCCAGCAACUAUGUGUUCACCAUCGGAGUUCUUCAGUAUCGCCCCGUCUCUGUCAUUAGCAAAAUUCAGGAUUGGCGAGAAGAAAAGUGA